rnacentral:rRNA from 1 species
ACGCACGCUGGCGGCGCGCCUAACACCUGCCAGUCGAACGAGCGAGAGAGAGCUUGCUUUCUCGCGCGAGUGGCGAACGGGUGAGUAACGCGUGAGGAACCUGCCUCAAAGAGGGGGACAACAGUUGGAAACGACUGCUAAUACCGCAUAAGCCCACGACCCGGCAUCGGGUAGAGGGAAAAGGAGCAAUCCGCUUUGAGAUGGCCUCGCGUCCGAUUAGCUAGUUGGUGAGGUAACGGCCCACCAAGGCGACGAUCGGUAGCCGGACUGAGAGGUUGAACGGCCACAUUGGGACUGAGACACGGCCCAGACUCCUACGGGAGGCAGCAGUGGGGAAUAUUGCACAAUGGGGGAAACCCUGAUGCAGCGACGCCGCGUGGAGGAAGAAGGUCUUCGGAUUGUAAACUCCUGUUGUUGAGGAAGAUAAUGACGGUACUCAACAAGGAAGUGACGGCUAACUACGUG